AUACGGAGGAUGCAAGCGUUAUCCGGAUUUAUUGGGUUUAAAGGGUGCGUAGGCGGUUUGCUAAGCGGGAGGUGAAAUGCCGGCGCUCAACGUCGGAAGUGCCUCCCGAACUGGUGGACUGGAAUGACUCUGCCGUGGGAGGAAUGUGCAGUGUAGCGGUGAAAUGCUUAGAGAUUACACAGAACACCGAUUGCGAAGGCAUCUCACGAAGGGUUGAUUGACGCUGAGGUACGAAAGCGUGGGGAUCAAACAGGAUUAGAUGCCCUGGUAGUCCACGCAGUAAACGAUGAUGGCUAACCGCUGGUUUUUUCGGAUCAGUGGCCAAGCGAAAGCGAUAAGCCAUCCACCUGGGGAGUACGACCGCAAGGUUGAAACUCAAAGGAAUUGACGGGG
rnacentral:rRNA from 1 species